rnacentral:lncRNA from 1 species
CCAGCAAUGGACCGGAGUCAUCCUCUUCAUCGUCAAGUUGAAGCGGAGGCCGCGAUGAAAGACAUAGAAGAACGACACAUCCGUCUUCUGAUAGAACUAGGCCGGGUUGAGAGAGAACUCAAGAAAAGGCGUGGUUGAUUAUUUUUUGCUCUAAGGGCGACUCGUACUGUGUUGGCCGUGUAACCUAUCAUCCGUACCGAAUGAUAAAUCGGACGAUUUGGACGAUUAUGUUCUCUUUAGGCGAUUUUCUCUUGUAUCGGCUGUGUGUUUGUUUAUCAUAUUCUAUGGUCGAUCCUUAUGCUCCGACCUAUAUACUAGGAUAGUACCUUUUCAAGUAUCUCCCGUUCAAAGCCCUAGUAAACUCUUCUCCUUCGAUCAUUUCCAAAAUGUAAGCAUUUCCCGGGGCACAUCUGCCGACUUUAUACAGUCCUUCCCACGUAGGAGACCACUUACCGAAUUUAGGAUCCUUUGACUCGAUCGGCAGCACUAACUUCCAUACCAGGUCCCCCGGAGAGAACUACUUGACCUUGACCUUCUUAUCAUACCAUCUGGCCACCUUCUUCUUGUUUUCUUCGAUACUAAUCAAAGCUCUCAAUCGUUGGCCCGCCAAGUCAUCAAGUUCCCUUUUCAUGAGUGAGGAGUAAUCAUCGGCCGUCAGCUGAUCUUGGAGCGACGUGCGUCUCGAUCCUAUCCUUAAUUCCCACGGCAGUACUGCCUCG